CACGUAGGGGGCAAGCGUUGUCCGGAUUCAUUGGGCGUAAAGAGCUCGUAGGCGGUUCGAUAAGUCGGGUGUGAAACCUCCAGGCUCAACCUGGAGACGCCACCCGAUACUGUCGUGACUAGAGUCCAGUAGGGGAGCGUGGAAUUCCUGGUGUAGCGGUGAAAUGCGCAGAUAUCAGGAGGAACACCAGCGGCGAAGGCGGCGCUCUGGGCUGGAACUGACGCUGAGGUGCGAAAGCGUGGGGAGCAAACAGG
rnacentral:rRNA from 1 species